AUUGAACGCUGGCGGCAUGCUUUACACAUGCAAGUCGAACGGUAACAGGUUAAGCUGACGAGUGGCGAACGGGUGAGUAAUGCAUCGGAACGUGCCCGAUCGUGGGGGAUAACGCAGCGAAAGCUGCGCUAAUACCGCAUACGAUCUGAGGAUGAAAGCGGGGGACCGUAAGGCCUCGCGCGAUCGGAGCGGCCGAUGUCAGAUUAGGUAGUUGGGGGGGUAAAGGCCCACCAAGCCGACGAUCUGUAGCUGGUCUGAGAGGACGACCAGCCACACUGGGACUGAGGCACGGCCCAGACUGCUACGGGAGGCAGCAGUGGGGAAUUUUGGACAAUGGGCGAAAGCCUGAUCCAGCAAUGCCGCGUGCAGGAAGAAGGCCUUCGGGUUGUAAACUGCUUUUGUACGGAGCGAAAAGGUCCUUUCUAAUACAAGGGGCUCAUGACGGUAUCGUAAGAAUAAGCACCGGCUAACUACGUGCCAGCCGCCGCCGUAA
rnacentral:rRNA from 1 species